rnacentral:rRNA from 1 species
CCGGCUGACUUUGUCUAGGCUUGGAAGAUAGGAAGCUAAGUAGGGUUAGACUUGGUUGGUACAUGGAUGGGAGACCUCCAGGGGAUACCGGGGUUAUCCGUU